ensembl:snRNA U6 U6 spliceosomal RNA
GUGCUCGCUUCCCAGCACAUAUACUAAAAUUAGAACGAUAGAGAAGAUUAGCAUGGCACCAUUUGAAAGGAUGACACGCGAAUUUGUGAAGCGUUCCAUUAAAAA